rnacentral:rRNA from 1 species
AGUCUGGUGCCAGCAGCCGCGGUAAUUCCAGCUCCAAUAGUGUAUAUUAAAGUUGCUGCAGUUAAAAAGCUCGUAGUUGGAUUUCGGAUAAUAAAAAUUUAAUAUCCAUCCUUAAAAUGUGAUUUAAUUUUUAUUUCCUUCCUUUUGAAUACACUCCCUAAACUCUUUUAGGGAAUUAAGUGUUUCAAAUCGUUUACUGUGAAGAAAUUAGAGUGUUCAAAGCAGGCGUAACCUAGCCUUUGAAUAUAUUAGCAUGGGAUAAUGAAAUAGGACUUUAGUCCUACUUUCGUUGGUUUCUAGGGCUGAAGUAAUGAUUAAUAGGGAUAGUUGGGGUCACUAGUAUUUAAUUGUCAGAGGUGAAAUUCUAAGAUUUAUUAAAGACUAACUACUGCGAAAGCAUUUGACAAGGAUGUUUUCAUUAACCAAGAACGAAAGUUGGGGGAUCGAAGAUGAUCAGAUACCGUCGUAGUCUCAACCAUAAACUAUGCCGACCAAGGAUCCGGGGUUGUUAAUAUGGAUGACUCUCCGGGCACUUAUAGAGAAAUCAUAAGUAUUUGGGCUCCGGGGGGAGUAUGGUCGCAAGGCUGAAACUUAAAGGAAUUGACGGAAGGGCACCACAAGGAGUGGAACCUGCGGUUUAAUUUGACUCAACACGGGGAAACUUACCAGGUCCAGACACAGUGAGGAUUGACAGAUUGAGAGUUCUUUCUUGAUUCUGUGAGUGGUGGUGCAUGGCCGUUUCUAGUUGGUGGAGUGAUUUGUCUGGUUAAUUCCGUUAACGAACGAGACCUUAACCUAUUAAAUAGUUGUUUGAACUUGAUUUUUUAAAUCAAAUGUUCAUUUAACUUCUUAGAGGGACUCUUCACUGAGAGAGUGAAUGGAAGUUUGAGGCAAAAACAGGUCUGUGAUGCCCUUAGAUGUUCUGGGCCACACGCGCGUUACACUGACAUAUUCAACGAGCAUUAUCCUUGCCCGUCGGGGUUGGGUAAUCUUUUAAAUGUAUGUCGUGCUGGGGAUAGAUCAUUGUAAUUAUUGGUCUUGAACGAGGAAUUCCUAGUAAGUGCGAGUCAUCAACUCGCGCUGAUUACGUCCCUGCCCUUUGUACACGCCGCCCGUCGCUCCUACCGAUUGAAUGGUCCGGCGAGAACUCAGGAUGGAUAUGGAUUUUGGACCCGUUAGGUGUUCCAACCAUAUCCAGAAUUUGUUCAAACCUUACCA